GACGAACGCUGGCGGCGUGCUUAACACAUGCAAGUCGAACGGAAAGGCCCUGCUUUUGUGGGGUGCUCGAGUGGCGAACGGGGGAGUAACACGUGAGUAACCUGCCCUUGACUUUGGGGUAACUUCAGGAAACUGGGGCUAAUACCGGAUAGGAGCUCCUGCUGCAUGGUGGGGGUUGGAAAGUUUCGGCGGUUGGGGAUGGACUCGCGGCUUAUCAGCUUGUUGGUGGGGUAGUGGCUUACCAAGGCUUUGACGGGUAGCCGGCCUGGGAGGGUGACCGGCCACAUUGGGACUGAGAGAGGGACCAGACGCGUACGGGAGGCAGCAGUGGGGAAUAUUGCACAAUGGGCGGAAGCCUGAUGCAGCAACGCCGCGUGCGGGAUGACGGCCUUCGGGGGGUAAACCGCUUUCGCCUGUGACGAAGAGUGAGUGACGGUAAUGGGUAAAGAAGCAACGGCUAACUACGUG
rnacentral:rRNA from 1 species